UCGGCUCACUUGCUCAUGAAAGGCUCAAAAUUUUCCCAGUUAACUCUGUGCUUCAGUCCUAGCAGAGCUGAGAAGCUGGCUGCUGUGAUUUAAGAAGAUGGGCCCUGAGCCAGGGGUGGUACUUCAUGCGAGCAAUCCCAGUAUUCAGAGAGGCCGAGGCAGGAGAAUCUAAAGACAGGAUUUAAAAGCCUGGAGGAUUUAAAGCUAACAGGUCAGUCUGUUAGCCAGACCCCCGUCUCCAAAAAAAAAAAAAAAAAAGGCCUCAGAAGCCUUUUUCUUCGAAGGACUUUCCGGAAGAACUUUCCAUGAACUUUUCAGAACUGUGUCUGCAGGCAAGGCUUCCCGGGACUCACCGGUGACGGGAACCGAGAUUCCCGGAGACCCGGGUCCCCUACGAUUUUAAGCAGGGCACCGGUGAAAACCUGGAUCCAGGAUUUUGCAGCCUGACCGGGCCUUCCGUUCCGCAGCGCGCUUUCCCGGUCUUGCCCCGAGCCUGGGCGCACCCGAGGCGAAGCCGCCGGCUGCAGUGUGCGGCGCGGCGAGCCGGGAGUCCGGGUCUUAGGUCCUGGGAUGGCCGGCGGGGCCGAAUCUGCACCACGGACCCGAGCGACACUUUUCUGCCGCCCGCGGCCGGGACGCGCCUGCUGCCUCCGCGACCGGGACCCUGCGUGUGCCAGAAGGAAAAUUUAUUGAUGUCUUCUUGCCUGAAGAAUCUCCGGCUGUUCUGAUGAUGGCUUAGCAGGACUGCAUGCUGUUCCCUCUUGAUGCCGCACCAGGCCCACUUGGCGCUUCAGAUCUCAGUCCUUCAUGGAGACCAGGUCCCAGCAGGAAUGGCAGUGCAGGAAAUUGGCACCCAGAUGGUUCCUCCACAUGAAGUCGUCUCGGGCUAUGGGCUGACGCGAGGACACCUGGUAGCUGGGCCAGCCCUCUGUCAGUCACCCGAGGACGGGCAGCAUGGUGCGCCUUCAGAGGAGGAAGCUUUUGGCAUCCUGCCUGUGCAUGACAGCUACUGUCUUUCUGCUUGCUACACUCCAGGUUGUGGUUGAGCUGGGCAAAUUUGAAAGGAAGAAGUUUAAAAAUUCCCAUUUGCAAGAUGGACAUAACACGGUGGAAGAAGGGUCUAAUCGUCUCAAUGUAUUCCUUAAGAAAGAAGCACUGACCUUGAAUGGGAAGAAAAAGUUGGAAGUUGGUGACCACCCCAUCAUGCUCUGGUGGUCCCCACUCACUGGGGAAACUGGACGGCUGGGCCAGUGUGGAGCCGAUGCUUGUUUCUUCACCAUCAACCGGACCUAUCUGCAUCAUCCCAUGACCAAAGCAUUCCUCUUCUAUGGUACUGACUUUAACAUAGAUAGCUUACCUUUGCCUCGGAAGGCCUAUCACGACUGGGCCCUUUUCCAUGAAGAGUCUCCGAAAAACAAUUACAAGCUCUUUCAUGAGCCUGUCAUCACCUUGUUCAACCACACAGCCACAUUCAGCAGGCAUUCCCACUUGCCACUGACCACUCAGUACCUGGAGGGCGUUGGUGCCCUGAAGUCACUGAAAUACUUAGUUCCUCUGAAGUCCAAAAACAUCCUAAGGAAAAGACUUGCUCCGCUGGUGUAUGUACAGUCAGACUGUGACCCGCCCUCAGAUAGGGACAGCUAUGUUCGUGAGCUGAUGGCCUACAUCGAGGUUGAUUCCUACGGUGAGUGUUUACGAAACAAAGAUCUUCCUCAGCAGCUGAAAAAUCCAAGUUCUAUGGAUGCCGAUGGCUUUUAUAGGAUUAUUGCCCAGUAUAAGUUUAUCCUGGCUUUUGAGAAUGCAGUUUGUGAUGACUACAUCACGGAGAAGUUCUGGAGACCGCUGAAACUGGGAGUAGUCCCUGUGUACUAUGGGGCCCCCAGCAUCACAGACUGGCUUCCAAGUAACAGAAGUGCCAUUCUUGUAUCAGAAUUCGCUCAUCCCAGAGACCUGGCAAGUUACAUUAAACGACUGGACUAUGACGACAGAUUGUACGAGGCCUACAUAGAAUGGAAGCUGAAGGGUGAGAUCUCUAACCAGCAACUUCUGGCAGCUCUCAGGGAACGGAAGUGGGGCGUACAAGACAUCACCCAGGACAACUACAUUGACGCCUUUGAGUGUAUGGUGUGCAGCAAGGUGUGGGAUAACAUUAGGCUACGGGAAAAGGGCUUGCCACCCAGAAGAUGGAAGGCAGAAGGGACCCACCUGAGUUGCCCAGCGCCCACCAUGUUUGCCUUCUCAACGGCUUCUCGUUGCCCUCAUUGCCCUCUGGCACCUCGUGGGAAUUCUUUGCGGGAGAUGUGGAUCGCAAGCUUCCAGCAAUCCAGAAAGGAAGCCCAGGCGCUAAGGUGGCUGGUUGAGAGGAAUCGAAACUUUUCAGCUCAAGAAUUCUGGGCCCUAGUUUUCAAAGACUAAUUUCAAAAUGGGUUACAGUGUCUUAGACUUGAGGAGGUUUAUUUUCUAGGUUGCCUUAAUAUUUGAAGAUGAUAGCUAUUUUGUUGACUAUCCUUGUGGAUGAAAAUUAAUCGCUGCAGUUUUCAGAGCUCUAUCAAAUAAUAGAUAUGAAUUAUUCUUACAGGUUGCCUCUGUAUUUUUUUUUACACUAAAAAGUGAAUAUUUUUUAUGGCCACAGAUGGUCUCCAGUUUCCAUGUGUAGACUCAUGUUCUAGCUGCGUUUUGUGGACAUUCUCCCAGGGUACAGCGGGUGUUGCCCUUGCUGCAGUGGAGCUAGAAGAUCUCACUGUGGCUUGUUUGGUGCCCAUCUCACCAUCAGCAGGCAACGUUCGGCAAGCCCAGUGCCUCGGUGCCAAGUGUGAGCGUGAAGUGCACCAGAUCUUGGCAGUGAGAGAGUCCAUCUGUUUGCUUCCAGGGAUGCCAGUAAGAAAAGCUGUGUCAAGCUUAUCUGCCAUCCACUCUUUAGCAAUAAUAAUAAUAAUAAUAAUAAUAAUAAUAAUAAUAAUAAUAAUCCUGGACAGGAUGCCUGCUUUCUUGAUACUCUUCAGUCACCACUUUAGCCUUUUUAAUAUUCCCCUUGCCUGGUGGCCUGAUGUUUUAUUCCAAAUUGGUAGGUCACAUAGAGAUGUAGCUCCUCUGUGUGUGCUUUGUUUUUGGAGACAAGAUCUUACUAUGUACCCCACAGCUGGCCUUGAACUUGCAGUCCUCCUGCGUCUACCUGAAAUGCUGCAACUGAAAGCAUACAUUACUGGACCUGGCCUCCUUGUGUUUUGAUCAGGGAGAUGUAGAUUGUUCCUUAUACUAAUGAAUGAUACUAAUUGUCUGAAUGGAUCUGGCCAGCUUGUAGGUUUCAAUCAAUGUAAGAGGGGAAAUGAAUAUUCCCAAGCACUUUUGUUAGUUGAAGCUAAUUUGUAGACUGAUAGGCAGCCCAUUGUGAUGGGCCUUCCACAGCUUUCAAUUUGUGAGCAUUUCCUGCUUUCUGAUCCUUUCACAGAGGAGGUUUGGCUGUCUUGUCUGGGUGUCUCCUGGAGGCCCACAAAAGACAAGGAGAAACAAUACUGGCUCACAUUUUCUUCUAUGCAAUGGUGGUAACUUGUAUUUGACACUGUAGCCUGCUACACCUAAUGUGUCAUGGCUCCUGUGCCAUGUACUAUGGAAAGGUGGUAACUUCUAUUUGACACUGUAGCCUGCUAUAGCUAAUGUGUCAUGGCUCCUGUGUCAUGUACUAUGGAAAGGCACAGGCCACAGUGGGGACCCAGAGGACACAGCCUAGGGGAAAUUUCAGAAUGUUCUCCAGCUGCCCUUUUAUUGCCUGCCAGUGCCACUGUCCUACCUGCCCUAGGCAGUGUCUUCACUGUGGAGCCCUCCUCUGGCUAUGGCAGCCAGGGGUGAGGAAUCAGAGCCAAUCCUGCACCUUCCUCAGGAGCAAGAAGGACCAGAUUGCUGGCCUAGGUUCCCCCCAGUCCCAGAUAUGCCAUUAAUUGUGAUCUUAGACAAAGGUUUUAACCUCUCUGGGCCUUAGUUUUUACAUCUGAAAAGAAAUGAUGGGGCUGGACUUUCACAUUGUUUCUAUGUAACAUUCUUUAAUUUUUCAUCAAAAUUUAAGAUGUUUACUAUUGUAGUUUUUUGUUGUUGUUAUUGCUAAGACAGCAACAGACUAGCUCAGAGCAACUGUAUGUAACUCAAGGGACGAGCUCUUCCUUGGAGAAGGGUGGUGCUUGCUUGUAGUACUGGGGAUGGAGGAGACUGUAUUUCUCUGCCAUUUUACCUGAUGUAACCAAAGUAGGAAAGCUUAAAAAGGGAGAUUAUUUGUUAAAGGUCAAGUUUUAAAUGAUAUACUAAAUAAGAUGGGGUUUCUGCACAUGGAAAGAAAGCCCAUCCAAGAGGUCAUUUUUGCCUAUGAGAAGAUAUCUUAGUAGAUUCAGUUCUGCACACAUGCCUACUUAAGCUGCAGCGUUCCUGUAUUCUGUUUUUGCUUCACAGUACCAGGGAUCAGUAAGCUGUGGUGUAUAUGCAACAUACGUGUCCUAUACUCCCUGUUUCAUGCAGUCUUGUUCCAUCCUAGUUCUUUAUCAAGAAUUCAUAGGUAAAUUUCUCCCCAAACUUUUUUGAAGUAUAAAGCCAUAAACAAAUUCAGUGAAAUAGAAUUAUUGAUUGUUUAAUACAGUAUAAAAGCUUUUUAGGGUAGGAGAAUAGAAAAGAGGGUGUCCCAUGGAUUGUAAAAUAGUUGUAUUACAAAGAAAGCAACUUAAAGGUUCACUGGGAUUCUGUGAAUGUGGAUUUGAGACUUGACUUUUCUGGCUUAGCGCGUGAUUCUUCUGUCGCAGGGAUUUCACUGGGAAAACAGUGCCUUCCUGCUUCUGACAGCCGCUGUUAGAAGUGUGCCCCCAUGAUAGCAGGGUUCUUUUCUGCAGAUGCAAGAUGUACUUUAUGAAUGCUUUAGUAUUUUCGUCUGGUCUCUUGGCUCCCUCAUAUAAUGUCUUUCUGUUUGCUCUUCCAUGUUUGUUUUGUGAAGUGUGACUAAGCCAGUGACCUGCCUUGUGGCCUCUCGCGAGGAACGACCGAAGGCAGUACCAUGAAGCAAGUUGCUUACAAACAGCAGAAACUUAUUUCUCGCAGUUUGGGGGGCUGGCAAGUCCAAGUCCUAAGUGUCUGCAGACUUGGUGCCUGUAAAGGCCUGCUUUCUGCCUCACAUAUGAAGUCUUGCUGGGACACUGCAUAGUGGAAGAGAUAAAGGAGCUUGCUGGGGUCUCUUGUAUGGUCACUCAUCCUGUUCACAAGGACUCCACCUUUAUGACCCACUUACUCUUGAAAGACUUCACCUAAUCCUGUUAUGAUUUUAACGUGUUAAUUUGGGGUUUAAGAGAAUUCCAGUUGCAGCAUUCUGCUCCUCAGCCCUCUGAAAUUCUUCUCCUUCUCACAUGCAAAAUAUUUUUGAGGCAUCCAAACAGUCUCCAAUGUAUUAAGUUGUUCCAGCAUCAACUGAAAGGUCUCAGAUCCAGUGUCUCCUCUGAGUACUGUCUAAAUCGUAUGUGAGUGAGUUCACGAUGUGCUUCAUCUGGAGACAGAUUGCCCUUAAGCAGUGAAGCCAAGUAAGUUAUGUGUAUCAUAAAUAUUGUGGUGGGAUAGGCAUAAGAUACAUACACCCAUUCCAACAGGGAGAUAUGGAAAAGAAGCGAAUGUCCUGGAGGAGUCCAAAUUAUAAACUUGUUUUGGCUCUUAGUGCUCUUUUUUUCCAUGAACAGUAGGAUGGAAACCUCAGCCCCAGGCCUGGUGAGGCAGCUCCUUCCAGCUUUGCAUGCAAACCUCUUCCCUAUGCCGUACUUCUCCCUGGUUGGGGUGUUUGCUCUUGGCUGCAGGCCUUUGAAACCUAGGUGGAGAUGGCUGUGUUCUCUGGUUCUGUGUUGUCUGUGUACCUGUGGAGACCACACUGCAGGGACAUCGUGGAAGAUGCCUGUCUGCUCCCUCAGGAGUGGACUGCACUGCUCCAGGGUACUGGUGCCUGCCAGAGAGGCUGAGAAGCACUGGGCGUCGUUGCUGGAGUGAGGGCCUUGAUGAGCAGCGGUGCUGAGUAGCAUUGCCCCAGUCCAACAGAUGGCACUGCUUCCCUUCUGUGAAACUGCCCUGUCCCCUCUGUGUUCAUGUGCUCUGGAUGGUGGGUGUGUGAUGGCAGGAGCAGGUCGAAGGUCCUCUCAGUCGUGUUCCCGGUUCUUCAGCCUUUGUUGUGGAGAACAGCCCCUGGCUUCUUCGGGCAUGGGUGAUGCGUACUAGUCUCCUUUGGGCACACUCUUAGUGUUCUUUUUUUCCACUGUGGCAGAGAAUGUUCUAAGUGUUUGAAUUGUUCUUUGUACUUAACAGUUCUGUCUUUGAGUUACUUCUUCUCACAUUACAAAGAGUCAAGAGAAGCCAAAACUGCAUCUUCAAUACCUUGCUUAGAAAUAGCUUCAGUUAAAUAUUCAGUUCUGUUACUCAUAAUAUCUGCUCUCCAUGAAACCCUGGAAUACAAACAUGAUUCUGCCAGGUUCUUUGUCAUUUUAUAGAAGAACCAUUUUCCAAUAAUGUAUUCUUCAUGUACAUGAGACUUUAUCAGAUGGGCUUUCCCUAAAGUUCGUGUUACUUGAAAUCUUCUGUUCAGGAUUACAGCAGUGUUAUGGUUUAGAUCGGAAAUGUCCCCCCAGAGUCUUAGGUAUUCAGAGAUGAGGGUUGAUGGGGCCAGGGGGUGCUGUGUUGAUCAGUUGGUCCCCUGAUGAGUCCAUAGCUGGUGUUCUAGGAGGUGGAGCCUGGUGGGAGAGGUGGCCACUGGGGGUGGGACCUGGAAGGGCAUGGUCUUGCCCCAGCUCCUCCCUUCUGUUUCUCAGCUGCUUUUUUUUUCCUGCCAUGCCCUUUCCACCAUGCCAUUCUUCCUUGAAGCCAGCUAUGGACUGAAUUCCUCCCAAACUGGGAGCUAAAAUAAAUCUCCCCUUCUUUAGGUUGCAGAUGUCAGGUGUUUUGUACCAGCAAUAGGAAGGUGACUGAUACAUGAUGUACUCUCUAAGAAAAUUGAGGCUUUCUUUGUGGCUCUCCUCUUUUCUUUCUGAGCCACCAUCAGAAUUACCUCCCCCUCCUCUUUUUUUAAACAAGGAAUUGAGCUCAAGCCCUCACACUUGCAAGCCAGGUGCUAUCACUGAGCUAAACCCCUGGCAGGAUUACCCUUAACUACUUGUUAUGGUUAUGUCUAACUGUCCCACCCCAAGCUUCAUACACUGACAGAUGGGGCAUUUGCAGAGGUGGCUGAACCUAGACCAUGUGAUGCUGGGAUUGAUUCCUGGUGCAAUGUGAGGAUGAAGGUCACUAGGGCUAAGGGUGUGAGCGGUACCUGCCUUAAGUAGCCUGGGUAAGAAAGAAGAGAGAGAAAGAGCUGUGGUUGUCUCCCUUGUUGCUUUACUACCUGCUGCCUGCUGGGAGCUGUGUCUCCUCUGGGAUGCUCCUCUGCCAUGCCACCUUACUUUGGAGCCAGCCAGCUAAGAACUGAAACCUCUCCAAACUGUGAGCCAAAUAAACUUUUCUGCCUUGAACUUUGGUUGUCAAGUGUUUUGUCUCAGCAACAAAAAAAGUAACUAAGACACCAUUCAUGGUAAUGUAGGCUUUUCUUUUUGA